rnacentral:rRNA from 1 species
UUGUAAGUAAUGAAGAGCGUACGGUGGAUGCCUUGGCACCAGGAGCCGAUGAAGGACGUAGGAGGCUGCGAUAAGCCUCGGGGAGCUGUCAACCGAGCUGUGAUCCGAGGAUGUCCGAAUGGGGAAACCCAGCACGAGUGAUGUCGUGUUACCCGCGCCUGAAUAUAUAGGGCGUGUGGAGGGAACGUGGGGAAGUGAAACAUCUCAGUACCCACAGGAAGAGAAAACAACCGUGAUUCCGUGAGUAGUGGCGAGCGAAAGCGGAAGAGGCUAAACCAUGGGUGUGUGAUAGCCGGCAGGUGUUGCAUUCGUGGGGUUGUGGGGUUCAUUUUGUCAAUACUGCCGUGUUGGCCAACAGUAAGAAAUCACAGGGUUAGUGGAAGUGGUCUGGAACGGCCUGUCGUAGAGGGUGAGAAUCCCGUACACGAAAACUUUGUGACUGUUGUAAUGGAAACCCAAGUAGCACCGGGCCCGUGAAAUCUGGUGUGAAUCUGUCGGGACCACCCGAUAAGCCUGAAUACUCCCUGGUGACCGAUAGCGGACUAGUACCGUGAGGGAAAGGUGAAAAGUACCCCGGGAGGGGAGUGAAAUAGUACCUGAAACCGUGCGCUUACAAUCCGUCAGAGCCUUCGAGCAGUUUACUGCUGGGGGUGAUGGCGUGCCUUUUGAAGAAUGAGCCUGCGAGUUAGUGGCAUGUCGCGAGGUUAACCCGUGUGGGGUAGCCGUAGCGAAAGCGAGUCCGAAUAGGGCGAUCNNNNNNNNNNNNNNNNNNNNNNNNNNNNNNNNNNNNNNNNNNNNNNNNNNNNNNNNNNNNNNNNNNNNNNNNNNNNNNNNNNNNNNNNNNNNNNCGGUAGUGGCAUGCUCUAGACCCGAAGCGGAGUGAUCUACCCAUGGCCAGGUUGAAGCGACGGUAAGACGUCGUGGAGGACCGAACCCACUUAGGUUGAAAACUGAGGGGAUGAGUUGUGGGUAGGGGUGAAAGGCCAAUCAAACUCCGUGAUAGCUGGUUCUCCCCGAAAUGCAUUUAGGUGCAGCGUCGCGUGUUUCUCACCGGAGGUAGAGCUACUGGAUGGUCUAGGGGGCCCACAAGCUUACCGAAAUCAGCCAAACUCCGAAUGCCGGUGAGUGAGAGCGCGGCAGUGAGACUGCGGGCGAUAAGGUUCGUAGUCGAGAGGGAAACAGCCCAGAUCGCCAGCUAAGGUCCCUAAGCGUGUACUAAGUGGAAAAGGAUGUGGGGUCGCGAAGACAACCAGGAGGUUGGCUUAGAAGCAGCCACCCUUGAAAGAGUGCGUAAUAGCUCACUGGUCAAGUGAUCCUGCGCCGACAAUGUAGCGGGGCUCAAGUACACCACCGAAGCUGCGGCAUUCACGCAAUAGCCCCCCUUCACUCUGCGGAGUGUUGGGCAGGUGUGUGGAUGGGUAGGGGAGCGUCGUGUGGCCAUGGAAGCGGCAGGGUGACCUAGCCGUGGAGGCCACACGAGUGAGAAUGCAGGCAUGAGUAGCGAAAGACGAGUGAGAAACUCGUCCGCCGAAUGACCAAGGGUUCCUGGGCCAGGUUAAUCCGCCCAGGGUGAGUCGGGACCUAAGACGAGGCCGACAGGCGUAGCCGAUGGACAACGGGUUGAUAUUCCCGUACCCGUGUGAACGCGCCCAUGGUGAAUCAGUGAUACUAACCAUCCUGAAGCCACGAGAAGACCUUCGGGUCUCGAGUUGGUGGAUGCAUGGGACCUGAUCUGGUAGUAGCCAAGCGAUGGGGUGACGCAGGAAGGUAGCUGAGCCAGUCAGUGGUAAUACUGGUGUAAGCGUGUAGGGCGUGACCUAGGCAAAUCCGGGUCGCACAUAGCCUGAGACGUGAUGCGUAGCCGAUUGAGGCGAAUUCAGUGAUCCUAUGCUGCCGAGAAAAGCCUCUAGCGAGCUUUCACACGGCCCGUACCCCAAACCGACACAGGUGGUCAGGUAGAGAAUACUAAGGCGAUCGAGAUAACUAUGGUUAAGGAACUCGGCAAAAUGCCCCCGUAACUUCGGGAGAAGGGGGGCCCUGUCUGGUGACGACAUUUACUGUCUGAGCUGGGUGGGGCCGCAGAGACCAGUGAGAAGCGACUGUUUACUAAAAACACAGGUCCGUGCGAAGUCGUAAGACGAUGUAUACGGACUGACGCCUGCCCGGUGCUGGAAGGUUAAGAGGACCGGUUAGUUCCUUCGGGAGCGAAGCUGAGAAUUUAAGCCCCAGUAAACGGCGGUGGUAACUAUAACCAUCCUAAGGUAGCGAAAUUCCUUGUCGGGUAAGUUCCGACCUGCACGAAUGGCGUAACGACUUCUCAGCUGUCUCAACCGUAGACUCGGCGAAAUUGCAUUACGAGUAAAGAUGCUCGUUACGCGCGGCAGGACGAAAAGACCCCGGGACCUUCACUACAGCUUGGUAUUGGUGUUCGGUUCGGUUUGUGUAGGAUAGGUGGGAGACUGUGAAACGGUGACGCCAGUUAUCGUGGAGUCGUUGUUGAAAUACCACUCUGAUCGAAUUGGACCUCUAACCUCGGACCAUGAUCUGGUUCAGGGACAGUGCCUGGUGGGUAGUUUAACUGGGGCGGUUGCCUCCCAAAAUGUAACGGAGGCGCCCAAAGGUUCCCUCAGCCUGGUUGGCAAUCAGGUGUCGAGUGCAAGUGCACAAGGGAGCUUGACUGUGAGACUGACAGGUCGAGCAGGGACGAAAGUCGGGACUAGUGAUCCGGCACCGGCAAGUGGAAGCGGUGUCGCUCAACGGAUAAAAGGUACCCCGGGGAUAACAGGCUGAUCUUCCCCAAGAGUCCAUAUCGACGGGAUGGUUUGGCACCUCGAUGUCGGCUCGUCGCAUCCUGGGGCUGGAGUAGGUCCCAAGGGUUGGGCUGUUCGCCCAUUAAAGCGGCACGCGAGCUGGGUUUAGAACGUCGUGAGACAGUUCGGUCUCUAUCCGCCGCGCGCGUUAGAAACUUGAGGAAGGCUGUCCCUAGUACGAGAGGACCGGGACGGACGAACCUCUGGUGUGCCAGUUGUUCCGCCAGGAGCACCGCUGGUUAGCUACGUUCGGAAGGGAUAACCGCUGAAAGCAUCUAAGCGGGAAGCCUGUUCCAAGAUGAGGUUUCUCACCCCCUCGAGGGGGUAAGGCCCCCGGCAGACCACCGGGUUGAUAGGCCAGAACUGGAAGUGCAGUAAUGCAUGCAGGUGACUGGUACUAAUAGGCCGAGGACUUACCACA